AAUGAACGUUGGCGGCGUGGAUUAGGCAUGCAAGUCGAGCGAGAACCCAGCAAUGGGGGACAGCGGCGAAAGGGACAGUAAUGUGUAGAUUAUCUGCCCUCAGGUCCGGGAUAGCUGCGGGAAACUGCAGGUAAUACCGGAUAACAUCUCCGGAUCAAAGGUGUGAUUCCGCCUGAGGAUGAGUCUACAUCCUAUUAGCUAGUUGGCAGGGUAAUGGCCUACCAAGGCGAUGAUGGGUAGCGGGUGUGAGAGCACGACCCGCGUCAUUGGGACUGAGACACUGCCCAGACACCUACGGGUGGCUGCAGUCGAGAAUCUUCGGCAAUGGGCGCAAGCCUGACCGAGCGACGCCGCGUGCGGGAUGAAGGCCUUCGGGUUGUAAACCGCUGUCAGAGGGGAUGAAAUGCAGGUGGGUUCUCCCAUCUGUUUGACAUAGCCUCAGAGGAAAGACGGGCUAAGUUCGUGCCCAGGCAGCCGCGGUAAGGACGAACCCGUCCAAACGUUAUUCGGAAUUACUGGGCUUAAAGGGUGCGUAGGGCGGCGCGGAAAAGUUGGGUGUGAAAUCCCUCGGCUCAACCGAGGAACUGCGCUCAAUACUACCGUGCUCGAAGGAGAUAGAGGUGAGCGGAACUUAGGGUGGAGCGGUGAAAUGCGUUGAUAUCCUAAGGAACACCGGUGGCGAAAGCGGCUCACUGGAUCUCUUCUGACGCUGAGGCACGAAAGCUAGGGUAGCGAACGGGAUUAGAUACCCCGGUAGUCCUAGCCGUAAACGAUGAGCACUGGAUUGAAGGGUCCUCCAUAGCCUUUCAGUCGCAACGAAAGCGUUAAGUGCUCCGCCUGGGGAGUAUGGUUGCAAGGCUGAAACUCAAAGGAAUUGACGGGGGCUCACACAAGCGGUGGAGGAUGUGGCUUAAUUCGAGGCUACGCGAAGAACCUUAUCCUAGUCUUGACAUGCACGGAUUAACUCCUGGAAACAGGAGCCAGGCCUUCGGGUACAACGUGCACAGGUGCUGCAUGGCUGUCGUCAGCUCGUGUCGUGAGAUGUCGGGUUAAGUCCCUUAACGAGCGAAACCCUUGUCACUAGUUGCCAGCGCGUCAUGGCGGGGACUCUAGUGAGACUGCCGGUGUUAAACCGGAGGAAGGUGGGGAUGACGUCAAGUCCUCAUGGCCUUUAUGACUAGGGCUGCACACGUCCUACAAUGCCACGUACAAAGGGAAGCGAACUCGUGAGAGCAAGCAAAUCUCAAAAAACGUGGCCCAGUUCGGAUUGCAGGCUGCAACUCGCCUGCAUGAAGCCGGAAUCGCUAGUAAUCGCGGGUCAGCAUACCGCGGUGAAUGUGUUCCUGAGCCU
rnacentral:rRNA from 1 species